GAUGAAGAACGUAGCGAAAUGCGAUAAGUAAUGUGAAUUGCAGAAUUCAGUGAAUCAUCGAAUCUUUGAACGCACAUUGCGCCCCCUGGUAUUUCGGGGGGCAUGCCUGUUCGAGCGUCAUUUCACCACUCAAGCCUCGCUUGGUAUUGGGCAACGCGGUCCGCCGCGUGCCUCAAAUCGACCGGCUGGGUCUUCUGUCCCCUAAGCGUUGUGGAAACUAUUCGCUAAAGGGUGCUCGGGAGGCUACGCCGUAAAACAAACCCAUUUCUAAGGUUGACCUCGGAUCAGGUAGGGAUACCCGCUGAACUUAAGCAUAUCAAUAAGCGGAGGA
rnacentral:misc_RNA from 1 species